GCAUGGGUGAAUUCUGCAUUGGCUUUUGCGAUGGCUAAUGGAGUCAGACACCAUGCAAGAAUAAAAUUUGCCUCAGAUUUGUCUAGUGACGUGCUGUACUAAAAUAGUAUGCAUGGGUCUGAAGGAUACACAU